rnacentral:rRNA from 1 species
UACGUAGGGUGCGAGCGUUGUCCGGAAUUAUUGGGCGUAAAGAGCUCGUAGGCGGUGUGUCACGUCGGCCGUGAAAACCUGCAGCUUAACUGUGGGCGUGCGGUCGAUACGGGCAUCACUGGAGUUCGGCAGGGGAGACUGGAAUUCCUGGUGUAGCGGUGGAAUGCGCAGAUAUCAGGAGGAACACCGGUGGCGAAGGCGGGUCUCUGGGCAGUAACUGACGCUGAGGAGCGAAAGCAUGGGCAGCGAACAGG